GAUGAAGAACGUAGCAAAAUGCGAUACUUGGUGUGAAUUGCAGAAUCCCGUGAACCAUCGAGUUUUUGAACGCAAGUUGCGCCCGAAGCCUUUUGGCCGAGGGCACGUCUGCCUGGGCGUCACGCAUCGCGUCGCCCCCCCACAAUUCUCCGUAAAGGGAACAUGUGUUUUGGGGGCGGAUAUUGGUCUCCCGUGCUCAUGGCGUGGUUGGCCGAAAUAGGAGUCCUUUCGAUGGACGCACGAACUAGUGGUGGUCGUAAAAACCCUCGUCUUUUGUUUCGUGCUGUUGCUCGCAAGGUAAACUCUUUAAAAACCCCAAUGCGUCGUCUCUUGACGACGCUUCGACCGCGACCCCAGGUCAGGCGGGACUACCCGCUGAGUUUAAGCAUAUCAAUAAGUGGAGGA
rnacentral:misc_RNA from 1 species